UUGUUGUCAGGUACCUUUAGUUGCUUUUAGAUAUUUUUUUUCUUUUUGCCAGAUAAUGUAUACUUGCAUAUUUCCUCUAUAGGUUGAAGAUGACGAUGAAGAGACCACAUCUGCUGUGAUAGAAGUGGACAAUGCUGGUGGAUCCACUGAGUACAUACCUGGGGAUUUGCCCACAGAUGACGGUCCUUCAACCUCAAUGCACGAUCUAAGCAGUUUGCCAGCAAAGGAGCUGUAUAAGGUCCAUCUUCAAAAACAAAUAAGAAAAAGUGACAUGGAGAUGUACCUUAUACAGCUUCAAAUGGAGGCGAAAAGGCUAUCCAUAAAAAAAGCAACAUUAGAAAUAGAAUUACUGGAGCAUCGCCUUAAGGAAAUAAAGAAAUGAACCACACCGCAGACCAGUGCACACAAUUUAAUAAAAGUAAUUCUGAGAAAUCCUG